rnacentral:rRNA from 1 species
AUGCAAAAGGCUGCCUUGACCCAACAAAACUGCUUGCAUCUGUCUGCUCAAAGUGGCCCCAAUUCAGUACCGGCAGAAUGGAGGAUGCCGAAGAACUCAUCCAAUGUUUUCUUCAUGGUUUGGAUGAAGAGGAAGAUGAAGCACGUCAACCUUCAAUGGAUGCUUCAAAGAAGGUCACAAUUGUUAAUUCCAUCUUUGCAGGCGAGGAGUGUAGUGCUCUAA